rnacentral:rRNA from 1 species
GACGAACGCUGGCGGCGUGCCCAACACAUGCAAGUCGAGCGAGAGACUUCGGUCUCUAGCGGCGGACGGGUGAGUAACACGUGGGUAACCUGCCUCAUAGUGGGGGAUAGCCUUCCGAAAGGAAGAUUAAUACCGCAUAUACUCUCGAUACCACAUGGUAUUUAGAGGAAAGGAGCAAUUCGCUAUGAGAUGGACCCGCGGCGCAUUAGCUAGUUGGUGAGGUAACGGUUCACCAAGGCGACGAUGCGUAGCCGACCUGAGAGGGUGAUCGGCAACAUUGGAACUGAGACACGGUCCAGACUCCUACGGGAGGCAGCAGUGGGGAAUAUUGCACAAUGGGCGAAAGCCUGAUGCAGCAACGCCGCGUGAGUGAUGACGGCCUUCGGGUUGUAAAGCUCUGUCUUUUGGGACGAUAAUGACGGUACCAAUGGAGGAAGCCACGGCUAACUACGUGCCAGCCGCCGCGGUAA